GUCACUGUAAAUUCAGGAGUCAUGAAUCUGGUACUAAUUUUUUCCUUUCAAGCUCUUGGAAUACCCUUUCAUGCCAAAUUGUGAGUCCUGUCUUAUAUCCAGACACGGCGAUGACUUGAUUGUAACUCCUUUUGCCCAGGUCCUUGCCAGCUUGCGAAGUGUGAGAAACAACUUCACUAUACUGACAAACCUUCAUGGUACAUCUAACAAGAGGUCCCCAGCUGCUAGUCAGCCUUCUGUCUCCAGAGUCAACCCACAAGGACAGUGCAUCCACUUUUCUUGGUGUGUUGAGAGCUGCAGAGAGGAAGGGCCACCUUGAAGGAACAUCAUGGAGUUCUGUUGAACUGAAAUUCUUCUUCACACAAAAUGCAACCAGUUCUAUGAUAUUUGUUAAAAUCCAAAUAAUGUUUUCUCCUAAAUCUGUUCCCUACUAUUGUUAGCAGUAGAUUUGAGAAAAACCACAGGAGAAACAAUUAAGAUGAACUCACACUGAGAUCACCUAACACCUGACACCUAACAAUUCCUCACACGCUUUUCUAUUUCCAGCAGCACUUCAUACUUAAAAUCUUUCUCACUUGGUUGUUGUGUUUUCUUUCUGGUAUCCUGAUCAUAAGUAUAACAGAAGUAUUACAAAAGCUUAGCUUCUAAAAGAAGGGAACAAAAGCAGCAGAUUCUAUUGGCUCAUUGGCUUCUGAAGUAUUUGUGGUGCACGCUUUUUAAAAUAUUUU
rnacentral:sRNA from 1 species